UCGACCGGAACUUCGGACAGGCGGCUAA
rnacentral:piRNA from 1 species